rnacentral:rRNA from 1 species
AGAGUUUGAUCCUGGCUCAGGAUGAACGCUGGCGGCGUGCUUAACACAUGCAAGUCGAACGGAGCGAUGACACGGAGUCUUCGGACGAAGUGUUAUGGCUUAGUGGCGGACGGGUGAGUAACACGUGAGCAACCUACCUUUUGCAGGGGAAUAACUCUGGGAAACCAGGGCUAAUACCGCAUGACGUGCACGGAAGGCAUCUUUUGUGCAUGAAAGGAUUAUAUCCGGCAGAAGAUGGGCUCGCGUCCGAUUAGGUAGUUGGUGAGGUAAAGGCUCACCAAGCCGACGAUCGGUAGCCGGACUGAGAGGUCGAUCGGCCACAUUGGGACUGAGACACGGCCCAGACUCCUACGGGAGGCAGCAGUGGGGAAUAUUGGGCAAUGGGCGGAAGCCUGACCCAGCGACGCCGCGUGAAGGAGGAAGGCUUUCGAGUUGUAAACUUCUUUGGGGAGGGACGAAGAUGACGGUACCUCCAGAACAAGCCACGGCUAACUACGUGCCAGCAGCCGCGGUAAUACGUAGGUGGCGAGCGUUGUCCGGAAUUACUGGGUGUAAAGGGCGUGUAGGCGGGGCGUCAAGUCAGGUGUGAAAUUCCGAGGCUUAACUUCGGGUGUGCAUCUGAAACUGAUGUUCUUGAGUGUCGGAGAGGAAAGUGGAAUUCCCAGUGUAGCGGUGAAAUGCGUAGAGAUUGGGAGGAACACCAGUGGCGAAGGCGGCUUUCUGGACGAUAACUGACGCUGAGGCGCGAAAGCGUGGGUAGCAAACAGGAUUAGAUACCCUGGUAGUCCACGCCGUAAACGAUGGAUACUAGGUGUAGGAGGUAUCGACCCCUUCUGUGCCGGAGUUAACACAAUAAGUAUCCCACCUGGGGGAGUACGGCCGCAAGGCUGAAACUCAAAGGAAUUGACGG